rnacentral:rRNA from 1 species
UACGUAGGGUGCGAGCGUUGUCCGGAAUUAUUGGGCGUAAAGAGCGCGCAGGUGGUUGAUUAAGUCUGAUGUGAAAGCCCACGGCUUAACCGUGGAGGGUCAUUGGAAACUGGUCGACUUGAGGGCAAAAGAGGAAAGUGGAAUUCCUAGUGUAGCGGUGAAAUGCAUAGAUAUCACGAGGAACUCCGAUUGCGCAGGCAGCUUACUAAACUACUACUGACGCUCAGGCACGAAGGCGUGGGGAUCAAACAGGAUUAGAUACCCCCGUA